rnacentral:rRNA from 1 species
UACGUAGGGGGCAAGCGUUGUCCGGAAUUAUUGGGCGUAAAGAGCGUGUAGGCGGCCAUACAGGUCAGCUGUGAAAACUCGAGGCUCAACCUCGAGACGUCGGUUGAAACCGUGUGGCUAGAGUCCGGAAGAGGAGAGUGGAAUUCCCGGUGUAGCGGUGAAAUGCGCAGAUAUCGGGGAAGAACACCCGUGGCGAAGGCGGCUCUCUGGGACGGUACUGACGCUGAGACGCGAAAGCGUGGGGAGCGAACAGG